AUUGAACGCUGGCGGCAUGCCUUACACAUGCAAGUCGAACGGUAACGCGGGGCAACCUGGCGACGAGUGGCGAACGGGUGAGUAAUGCAUCGGAACGUGCCCAACAGUGGGGGAUAGCCCGGCGAAAGCCGGAUUAAUACCGCAUACGACCUAUGGGUGAAAGCGGGGGACCGUAAGGCCUCGCGCUGUUGGAGCGGCCGACGUCGGAUGAGGUUGGUGGUGGGGUACAGGCCUACCAAGCCGGCGAUCCGUAGCUGGUCUGAGAGGACGACCAGCCACACUGGGACUGAGACACGGCCCAGACUCCUACGGGAGGCAGCAGUGGGGAAUUUUGUACAAUGGGCGAAAGCCUGAUCCAGCCAUGCCGCGUGUCUGAAGAAGGCCUUCGGGUUGUAAACUGCUUUUGUCAGGGAAGAAAUCCUCUGGGUUAAUACCCCGGGGGGAUGACGGUACCUGAAGAAUAAGCACCGGCUAACUACGUGCCAGCCGCCGCGGUAACAC
rnacentral:rRNA from 1 species